CAAUAGCGUAUAUUAAAGUUGUUGCAGUUAAAAAGCUCGUAGUUGGAUUUGUGGCGUACGGUGUGUUCCGGGCACUUGUUGUCUGAGUAACCUGCUGUUGUCAUCCUUGGGUGGAACCUGUGUGGCAUUAGGUUGUCGUGCAGGGGAUGCCCAUCAUUUACUGUGAAAAAAUUAGAGUGUUCAAAGCAGGCUUAUGCCGUUGAAUAUAUUAGCAUGGAAUAAUGAGAUAGGACUUUUUUGCUAUUUUGUUGGUUUGCGCAAGAAGGUAAUGAUUAAUAGGGACAGUUGGGGGUAUUCGUAUUCCAUUGUCAGAGGUGAAAUUCUUGGAUUUUUGGAAGACGAACUACUGCGAAAGCAUUUACCAAGGAUGUUUUCAUUAA
rnacentral:rRNA from 1 species